CUAGACUUGACAUCCCCUGCAUAACCCAGAGAUGGGCGAAGUCCUUCGGGACAGGGUGACAGGUGGUGCAUGGUUGUCGUCAGCUCGUGUCGUGAGAUGUUGGGUUAAGUCCCGCAACGAGCGCAACCCUUAUCAUUAGUUGCUACCAUUAAGUUGAGCACUCUAGUGAGACUGCCCGGGUUAACCGGGAGGAAGGUGGGGAUGACGUCAAAUCAUCAUGCCCCUUAUGUCUAGGGCUACACACGUGCUACAAUGGUGAGUACAAAGAGAUGCAAGACCGCAAGGUGGAGCCAAACUCAAAAACUCAUCCCAGUUCGGAUUGUAGGCUGCAACUCGCCUACAUGAAGCCGGAGUUGCUAGUAAUCGCGAAUCAGCAUGUCGCGGUGAAUACGUUCCC
rnacentral:rRNA from 1 species